rnacentral:other from 1 species
GCGGGGCUGCCCGGUGCGUCCGGCACUUUAUCCCCGGGGCCAGUAAGCAAUCCCAGGGAGCUGGCUCUGUCGUGGCCCUGGUCACGGUACCUGGCGCCCACCUGCAAACGCAGGCCUUGGGAGGAUGAGACGCCAACGGCCAUGGCGGCUCCGCA